AUUGAUUUGAUGAUAUCAAAUUUUGAUUUUUAUCACAUUGAAAUGGUUCAUAUAAAAUAUUUAAUACAUAUUAAUUGCCAAAGAAUGCUAGUAGUGAUAAUAUAUAUAAUUGUUAAAGUUUCUAUAAACUUCCUCUUUCUUUCAGAAAACUUAAAUCAGUUCAAGCAUUUAUGAUAGGAUUCUUAUACAGAUGUUUUGUUGAACAAAUUAGUAAUGUUUUUGGUAUUUCAAUCCUAUUCAAUUGAUAUAAAUUUAAUUACUUUAAAUAUCAAUAGUAUUUAAUAUUUUUCUCUCACAAGAAAACAAAAUUACAAAGGAAAAGUUUUUGGUCAAAGAAAAAAGGAUUAAAAUAGAUUAUACAAGAACAUCUCUAAGAUGGCAAUUAUACUAAGAUUAACAUAAUAAAUAUUAAAAAGUCUUAAGAAAUAGCAUAUUCUGAGUACCAUGUCUUCUUGGUGUGGUGCAUGUUCCCAGAUAUCUGAUAGAGUACAGAGAUGUAUAUGAAAAGGAACAAGAAAAAAGCCUCUUGCAAGGUUGUCAUGCCAUCUGGAGGCACCAAAUCCAUGAUUAGGGCAAGUCUUCUGGAAGAAUAUCAUUUAUUAUUUUGCAAGUUUUCUUCUCAUUUGUAUUUCAAAUGCCUCUGUGGUUCUCACAUCAGAAAUAUUAGAAACAGAUCUAACCAUUCUAGCCUUUUACCAUAAUAUCUAUAGAUCAUAUUCAUAAUAUGUAGAAAUGAGGACUGGUAAGUCUUUCUUGAUGUAUAUCAUCUUUAUGCUCCUUAAAUCUCUCUCUCAAAUUCUUAGCUGUCUUCACUGUAUAAUUUUCUGCACAGACAAGUUAUAAACCUUUUCUUUGCAAUUUUGUUUCUUGUGAGAAUAAAUAUUUUUCUGCUGAUGAGCCUGUAUAUUUUUAAUAACUUAAGUUUAAGCAGAAAGUGUUUUCUCUUUUUAACUACUAUUGAUAUAUUAACC
rnacentral:lncRNA from 1 species